rnacentral:pre_miRNA from 12 species
UUGGAUGUGUCAGGGAGGCAGUGCAUUACUAGCUGGCUGUUAUCGUGUCAUUUUAACAGCUGCUAGUUGCACUCCCCCCUGUUGCAUGCAUA